rnacentral:rRNA from 1 species
GGCGCACGGCUGAGUAACACGUGGGAAUCUGUCUCCGAGUGGGGGAUAACGUCUCGAAAGAGACGCUAAUCCCGCAUACGCUCCGCAAGGAGGAAAGGCGCAAGUCGCUGGGAGAGGAGCCUGCGGCCCAUCAGGUAGUUGGAGAGGUAACGGCUCACCAAGCCUAUGACGGGUAGCUGGUCUGUGAGGACAACCAGCCAGACUGGGACUGAGAACGGCCCAGACUCCUACGGGAGGCAGCAGUAAGGAAUUUUCGUCAAUGGGGGAAACCCUGAACGAGCAACGCCGCGUGGAGGAUGACGGUCUUCGGAUUGUAAACUCCUUUUGUGAGGGACGAUAAUGACGGUACCUCGCGAAUAAGCCCCGGCUAACUCUGUGCCAGCAGCCGCGGUAAUACAGAGGGGGCAAGCGUUGUCCGGAGUUACUGGGCGUAAAGCGCACGUAGGCGGUCCGAUAAGUGGUGUGUGAAACCAAUCAGCUUAACUGAUUGACGCCAUGCCAAACUGUCGGACUGGAGUCAUGGAGAGGUAGUUCGAAUUGCCGGUGUAGUGGUGAAAUGCGUAGAUAUCGGCAGGAAGACCAAGGGAGAAAUCAGACUACUGGCCAUUGACUGACGCUCAGGUGCGAAAACGUGGGGAGCGAACUGGAUUAGAUACCCAGGUAGUCCACGCCGU